GUAAUUCGCAUUUGGGAUUCUGAGGUAACUGGUUAUUUAUUUGCAUAAUUACUUUUGUAGUGAUGUAACAUCGGUGGGACACGAGUAAACUCCCCAAAAGAUCUAAGGCAGCUGCAGAAAAAUGUCUUUUUAAUCAAUUGUUUGGUAGAUUCUUGAAAAAGGCCAAAUGGUUUAUGAAUAGCUUUGCUGACUUGGUUUAGAAGAGGCAAAACUUGUAUGUGAACUGCAUGUUGAGCUUUUUGUUGUAGUUUAACUGCAAUUGUUGGAUUGCAUGCAAGAUUUUUGUAGUUCCUUGGAAGUAAAAUCUGAAAUUUUUUGUUGUAAAAAAAAUCAUAGGUAUAACUGGGGUCUAUA
rnacentral:misc_RNA from 1 species